CGGGACGGGUGGGUAAUGUCUGGGAAACUGCCUGAUGGAGGGGGAUAACUACUGGAAACGGUAGCUAAUACCGCAUAACGUCGCAAGACCAAAGAGGGGGACCUUCGGGCCUCUUGCCAUCGGAUGUGCCCAGAUGGGAUUAGCUAGUAGGUGGGGUAACGGCUCACCUAGGCGACGAUCCCUAGCUGGUCUGAGAGGAUGCCAGCCACACUGGAACUGAGACACGGUCCAG
rnacentral:rRNA from 1 species